UUUAAGUGUUCAAAAUUAUUUAAUUGAAGCGUACAUAGCAGGAAACUUUUACUACUAAAAUGAUAAAUAUUCUUUAUUACAUGCAAUUGAGGAAAAAUAUGGUUACCUUCCUUGUUCUUCUGACGAUGAUUGCCCGAAGGAGAUGAAACCUGUAGUUGUAAAGUGUAUACAUAACUUUUGUGAGCACUUUAUGGUGGGCGAAUACGAGGGACCAUAAUCACAUAAUUGCAAUUAGCAGGGUCAAAUUCGAACAAUUGAGAAAUUUUGGUGUCAAAAGUUUAUUUUAGCCAAUUAUUUAUUCGUCAUUAUGUUUGUUUAUUUAUUUAUUUUUUUGUUUUUUCUUAUAAAAAUUGAUUUAUGUUUCUCUGGCUUUUCAAUUAAUUAUAUUUUCAUGUAAUGCAUUAUAUUUUCCUUUAUUGGGUUUUCCAAGUUUGGAUUUUAAUGAGAUAGUUGUUUUUAUUAUUA